AUUGGGAUAGCUUAAGUUUAAAGCGUUUGUUUUACACACAAAAAAUAGUUUAUUACUUCCUAAUA
rnacentral:tRNA from 1 species